rnacentral:rRNA from 1 species
AUUGAACGCUGGCGGCAUGCCUAACACAUGCAAGUCGAACGGAGGUAGGGGCAACUCUACUUCAGUGGCGGACGGGUGAGGAAUGCGUCGGAAUCUACCCUAUGGUGGGGGAUAACACAGGGAAACUUGUGCUAAUACCGCAUGAUGUCGAGAGACCAAAGCAGGGGACCGCAAGGCCUUGCGCGAUAGGAUGAGCCGACGCCCGAUUAGCUAGUUGGUAGGGUAAUGGCCUACCAAGGCGACGAUCGGUAGCUGGUCUGAGAGGAUGAUCAGCCACACUGGGACUGAGACACGGCCCAGACUCCUACGGGAGGCAGCAGUGGGGAAUAUUGGACAAUGGGCGCAAGCCUGAUCCAGCAAUGCCGCGUGUGUGAAGAAGGCCUGCGGGUUGUAAAGCACUUUAGCCUGGAAAGAAAAAACUUUGGUUAACACCCAAAGUCUUGACGGUACCAGGAGAAUAAGCACCGGCUAACUCUGUGCCAGCAGCCGCCGUAACAC